rnacentral:lncRNA from 10 species
GGGCUCAACUUCCGCGCUGUGGUUAACUUAGGCUUGCUGGCGCGCAUCUUCUUGUCCUUUGGACACAGGCAUAUCCCAUUCUUUCCGGAGGGGAAAGAUACUCGCGUAGAAGGAGAAAACAGGUGCACAGAACCUUGCCCGGAAGCGCUGGCUGGGGUCCCGCAGGGCUGGACCUGAUGUAGUCCACGCGCCACACGUCCUCCUGGGCGCCGACGCGCACCUAUGGCGGCCUCCGACGCGCGGACGUCAGCGUGGCGUUACCGGGGUGGAGCCUCGGAAUGUACUGGAGAGCCUGGCGAGAAAGUCGGGGCUCGCAGCUCUCCGGCGAUGACAGCGCUGUGUUCCCGUUCUCCCUUCACCCGGUGGCCGGGACCACUGAGCCUCCUUCCCACAAUGGGAGAUCCCGAAUAGGCGAAGAGUAUCUUCGUGUCCCAACCCUUUAACAACUACCGCGCAGGAGCGUGUCAGCCUCUGGAAGCAAAACUGUCCGGUGUUGAGUCACCUACACCCAGCACGUCCCGCCCCGACCCGCCCAAGUGUGCUCUUAAGAUAGGGAGGCACAAAGGUGACCCCAAUAGGAAUCCUGGGCUGGCGGUCCCUCAGAAACUAGAGUUGAUAACAGUUUGGCCAGAACUGAAGUGACUAGAAAUGCAGGUGCCUCCAGCGUCUGAGACUAGAUAAGUUAACUUCCUACAACUUGUUGCUUUUCCUCUGUAACUCCGCCUUCCGAGGUGUCAGAAGGAACCAACCAGACCUUAAGCCCCUGUACUGCCAAAGACAGAUGGUUGAGCAUCAGAUGUUUUGCAAAGCUGAAUGAUUUUUUUUUUAAACUUCCUACAGAGCUCCCAGCUGGGUCCCUUGUGGCGUUUUCUCUAACGUCUUAGCUAAGAAAGAUUGGGCAUAUCUUCACACCAGUGAGCAAAGUUGGGCUAAUAUGCUGAAUUUUCUGUUACAUUAUACUGAUAACAGAAUUUUAAAAAUAUAUCGACACCGCUUACCACGCGCUUGAACUCGUUUCUCACUGGGGUGAACAUUGUGAGGACAGAUGGAAUGUGAUUAAUUGAGCUAAGGCUAACGGGAUUAUUGGGUCACCAUAUUUCUUUAGUUGUUAAAAACAAAGUUCCGCUACACACACAGACACACUCUUUUUUGAGACGGAGUCUUGCUGUGUCGCCCAGUUUGGAGUGCAAUGGCGCUAUCUCGGCUUACUGCAACCUCCGCCUCACGGGUUCGAGAGAUUCUCCUGCCUCAGCCUCCCGAGUAGCUGGGAUUACAGUCGCCCGCCACCACGCCCAGCUAAUUUUUGUAUUUUCAGUAGAGACAGGGUUUCGCCAUGUUGGCCAGGCUGGUCACAAACUCCUGACCUCAGGUGAUCCGCCCGCCUCGGCCUCCCAAAGUGCUGGGAUUACAGGCGUGAGCCACUUCACCCGGCCACACACAAUUCUGAACUUGGCUAACGUAUACUCAACUGGGAAUUUUCCAAAUGUGUGCAUGUAACGUCAGGAUCCCAACCAUCCUUACAAGUAAAUUGGAUAUGCUAAAAUAAUAAAUAUGCAACCUAACACUUACUUAGAACAGUAAUGUGAGCUACACACUGUCUUCAGAGCUUCACAUGUAUUAAUAAAUACUUAUAAUAAUUCAAUGAAUAGGUACUAUUAAUACCUCAUUGUUACAGAUGUGGAAACUGAAGCAUAGCGGUUAAGAAAUAUGUCCACAAUCAAGCAGCUAGGGUCUUUUGGAAGCCAUAUGCUAUAUUAGAAAUCUUGUGCACCAGAAUAAAAAAUCUGGAAACCUGAAAUCCAUUUUCUUCAGAAUUUGCAGAUGCACAAAUAACAUUUCUUUACCAUUGUGAAUUAGAGUAUGACUUUUUUUUAACCUGAAGAACUGAAGUGGAUAUACGAACCUUGCUAACUUCACUGAGCACUUUUUAAUUUUAAGGAAGAUAAUGUAAAAUGUCAAAACACUUCAAAAGCUGUAAAGCACUAUGUGAAUCCAUUAAGUGCUUCACAGUCUUGGAAAGUGAAGAGAGCCUACUAGAAAAUCAACUGGACUCAUGGCACUGAGGGCAGUCUUGUGUCCCUAAUGUAUCAAAAUACCUCCAUAUUAUGAAUUAUCGUGAAAACAUUUUAGCCAUAUAGUAAAUUUUUUAUUUAGAUUCAAUUGUUUAAAUCCCAAUUGCAAUAUAUUAAUGGAAGGCUGUAUGAACAAUACAUAGAUUCCCCUUGAAGUUUAUAUGUAAUGUGAACUAACGAACAGAUCAUCAGAUCACCUCAGAGACAAUACUUGUUUUUAUUUUAUUUUAUUUAUUUGUUUGUUUUUUGAGACAGAGUCUUACUCUGUUGCCCAGGCUGGAGUGCAGUGGCGCCAUAUCGGCUCACUGCAGCCUUGACCUCCCGGGUUCAAGCAAUUCUCGUGCCUUGUGCCUCAUUCUCCUGAGCAGCUGGCAUUACAGGCAUGUGCCAUAAUGCCCAGCUAAUUUUUGCAUUUUUUUAUAAUUGAGACAGAGUCUCACUCUGUUGCCCAGGCUGGAGUGCAGUGGCGCGAUCUCAGCUCACUGCAACCUCCGCCUCCUGGGUUCACGGCAUUCUGCUGCCUCAGCCUCCCAAGUAGCUGGGACUACAGGCGCGUGCUACCACACCUAGCUAAUUUUUUGUAUUUUAAGUGGAGACGGGGUUUCACCGUGUUAGCCAGGAUAGUCUUGAUCUCCUGACCUUGUGAUCCACUCACCUUGGCCUCCCAAAGUGCUGGGAUUACAAGCGUGAGCCACCAUGCCCGGCCUAAUUUUUGUAUUUUUUGUAGACAGGGUUUCGCCACAUUGGCCAGGCGGGUCUCAAACUCCUGAGCUCAAGUGAUCUGCUGGCCUCCGCCUCCAAAAGUGCUGAGAUUACAGACGUGAGCCACCAUGCCUGGCCAAUACUUGUAAGUUUCUUAAAAU